GGCCCAGGUGCCCUUGGGCCGGUACUCCAGGACGAUGGCUGUGAUAGGGCAGCCCCCGUUGUUCCAGCCCUGCAGGUUAAGCCGAGCAUGCGUGGAGUUGAUGUGGGUGAACAGCUGGGUGAUCGCGAAGCCUCACCCCGCCCGUGGGUCUUUGCCUCGAUGAUCUCGCUGAUGCGCCCGGAGCCCACGCUGUUCUUGGCUGCCAGCUUCACCUUGUACCACGUGCCACACUUGAGGCUGUCCAGCUUGAAGGACCGCUCCCCUGAGCUGAUGAACACAUCCUUCCACUCUUCGCUGUUGUCCACCGAGUACUGCAGCACGAAGCCUGCCCGGGAGAUUUGGGAACUGAGGCCCAGAGAAGAAAACACAUCUCUCCAGGUUCACACAGCUCACCAGCAGCAUUUGGGGUGGGCCGUCUAAACGUGGGAUACCUAGGCUGGUGCCUUUCUGUGGCACUUGGACCCCUCUCACCUCGGAUGGAGCUGCCCCCAUUGUCACCUGGAAUCCAGCAGGGGCUGGAUCUCCCACUGAAUUGCAGGGCAGCCGGACGUCUUUCAUCCAGGGUGUUGUCACGGUGCCUCCGAAUGAGAUGAUCUUCGCUGGGGCUGUGGGGAGG